rnacentral:lncRNA from 1 species
CCUGCUUCCAUAAAUGCAUGGGGGGGGGUCCCUCUCUCUAUGUCAAGACACAGUUCUUUCACAGGAAAAAAGCCAGAAAUAAGCAGACCUGCCUUGUUCUUCAACCCCAGGAUUGUUCCACCUGACUGGAGGGAGAAGAAGGGAACUACCAGUUGUCUCCAAUAGUGAAUUAAUCCAGCAUUUAGUCAAAAUUGAGGAUUUUGAAGUCAUGCAGAUGUUCCUGUUUGCAAAUUGUUCUGGUUGCAUCAAGCCAAAGGACAUGCAAGAACCUCCUGAAAGGGAACAUGAAGAAGAAGGAGUAAUAUUCCCUCUUAUUAUUCAGCAAAAUAAAGGGACCUCUUGAUCAAAC